rnacentral:lncRNA from 10 species
CAGAUACAUCGUCUGUGAAAGUGAAACUUAGGAGCUUUGUGAGUCCUGUUGUACUGCUUUUAGACACAUUUAUAUGUCAAGGGACCAAAGUCACAUUUUCUACCGAUUAGAUCCUGAUCAUUCAGGGAUUACCAAGAUUCUGCUACCCACUGUAGUUAAUAAACAAAAAGCAAACUGGUCUCUGUUCUAUCUCAUGCACUCAGGCGCAACUUCUCCAGAUUUAAAGAAAAAGAAAAAAAAAGCCCUGUCUCUACACCUCCAUUCCCAGGGCAAGCUCACUCUCCGGCACCAAGCUCUCUGGGGUGAUUUUUCUUCUAGAAGAGUCCACUGGGACAGGCUUCCACUCCUUGAGGUAUUUCCACACCGCCACGUCCCGGCCCGGCCGCGGGGUGCCCCCGCUUCAUCUCCAUGGGCUAAGUGGACGACACGCAGUUCGUGCGGUUGGACAGCGACGCCGCGAGUCCUAGGAUGGAGCCGCGGGCGCCGUGGAUGGAGCAGGAGGGGCCGCAAUAUUGGGAGGAGAAGACAGGGACCGCCAAGACCAACGCACAGUUUACCGAAUGAACCUGCGGACCCUGAGCGGCUACUAGAACCAGAGCGAGGCCUGUGAGUGACACCGGCCGGGGGCGCAGGUCACUACCCCUGCACAUCCCCCACGGACAGUCCGGGUCUCCCCGAGUCUUCGGGUCCGAGAUCCACCCCGAGGCCGCGGGACCCGGAGACCCUUGACCGGGGAGCAGCCUAGGAGCCGUUACCCGGUUUCAUUUUCAGUUUAGGCCAAAAUCCCGCAGGUUGGUCGGGGUGGGGGCGGGGCUCGGUGGGCGGGGCUGACCGCGGGCGCAGGGCCAGGGUCUCACACCAUCUAGAGGAUGCCUGGCUGCGACAAGGGGUCCGAGGGGCGCCUCCUCCGGGAGUAUCACCAGCUCGCCUACGACGGCAGGGAUUACGUCGCCCUGAACCAGGACCUGUGCUCCUUGACCGCUGCAGACACGGCGGCUCAGAUCACCCAGCUCAAGUGGGAAGCUGCCGGCGAGGCGGAGGUUCAUCCUCACAGGGGUAGGUACCUAUUCGAUGUGGUGUGUUUUUCUCUCUACUCUCAGACCCUCAGCCAGUAUCACUAUUGGCAUUCCUGAUCCACUGGCUCAGAAUUUCAGUGCAUUAUCUGCCCGCGGGACACACCUCAGAGGGAAAGGGAUGAAGCGUGGGCCAUGACCAAGGCAUCUCCUGGUCAUAUCACCACCUGCACCUCCCAGGGGCUGCCAGCCACACCGAGUCAUGGACAGGUCUCCACAGACACAACUUAGUACCAGCUUGGAUGAAACCCUCUGAGGAACGGGGACCAGCUUUCAGGAUGUGCUGCGCGUAUUAAAUCAAAGACGUCUCUAUGGUGCUGUGUUUACAGAAGGAAGAAUUCGUGGGUCCAAAAACCAAGAAGUUGAAACAGGUGUGGCUCCAUGUCUCAUCCCUUCUAUUCACCCUCAGGGUGAUUUUGCACUUCUCCUCUCCAAUAUCGGGGCUCUGCAGGGGAGGAGGUCCUGGUUUCCCAAAGGGGGCACCCUGGCAAGGAGACAAAUGAGAGUCCAUGGAACUACACAUUAUGGGUGCCCCCAGGGAUGUUUGAGUAGUAUGUGUCCAGACACAAGCAGGUGAGAAGAGAAGGAGGCAGGGCUGCUAUCACACAAGGAAGGCAGAAGUGUGUGUGGAAAUAAGAAUUCCACUUGGAGGCCUUAUGGUUCCCCUUGUCCUGUUGUAAGUGUGAGCAGAAUCAUCCAGCAACCCAGCCUGAGAGGGUUUGAUAUUCAAGAGCCCAGAACCCUCAGGAAGGAAGGAUUGAGUGAUACACCUAGAUAAUGUCCCAAGGCUCCACUCCUGUGCUCUGACAUCCUCAGAAGGGUUAGUGCAGAAGCCCUGCUUCCCAUGGGCUGUUCCCAGCCAGAGACCGGUCACAGCAGGCACACUAAGGCAGGCCAUUACUGGGAGACACGGGACUCCUCUGAUGGCCAACGGUGGCUAGAAGACUCCUCCAUGGCCUUGCUCAACCCUCCUUAGAUUGCCUGUGCUCUAGAAUGUGUCGAACAAACCUUCUCUCCUUCUGUCCAGCACUUGGGGGUCACACUUGCAUUGUGGUCUGCCGCCUUUUCCAGGGAUUUCUGGCUCGCUUCCCAUAUUCCCUUACAGGUGUAUCCCCUCAUAAAAUGCCACAGACUUGAAGCUCAUCUGGGCAUCUGCUCCUUGAAAGACUUAGACUAAAAAUUAUUUCCAUCUGCACAUCAAUAACUUCUACUUAUUUCAACUUGUAAAAUCCUUCUCUUUGUCCAACUUCUGCCACCCCCAUAGAAUCUAUUUUACUUGUGUUUGUAGUAUCUCUUUGAGUUAACGGAUAUUUGUUCUAUUAAGCUACUAAAUUUUGAGGUAGUUUGUGACACAGCACUUGAGAACUAUUAAGGCUUUCUUUCUUUUUUUUUUUUUUUCUUGAGAUGGAGUCUCGCUCUGUUGCCCAGGCUGGAGUUCAGUGGCUCAAUCUCGGUUCACUGCAAGCUCCGCCUCCCGGGUUCACGCCAUUCUCCUGCCUCCCGAGUAGCUGGGA